CCUACGGGGGGCUGCAGUCGAGAAUCAUUCACAAUGGGGGAAACCCUGAUGGUGCGACGCCGCGUGGGGGAAUGAAGGUCUUCGGAUUGUAAACCCCUGUCAUGUGGGAGCAAAUUAAAAAGAUAGUACCCCAAGAGGAAGAGACGGCUAACUCUGUGCCAGCAGCCGCGGUAAUACAGAGGUCUCAAGCGUUGUUCGGAAUCACUGGGCGUAAAGCGUGCGUAGGCUGUUUCGUAAGUCGUGUGUGAAAGGCGCGGGCUCAACCCGCGGACGGCACAUGAUACUGCGAGACUAGAGUAAUGGAGAGGGAGCCGGAAUUCUCGGUGUAGCAGUGAAAUGCGUAGAUAUCGAGAGGAACACUCGUGGCGAAGGCGGGUUCCUGGACAUUAACUGACGCUGAGGCACGAAGGCCAGGGGAGCGAAAGGGAUUAGAUACCCUAGUAGUC
rnacentral:rRNA from 1 species